AGAGUUUGAUCAUGGCUCAGAUUGAACGCUGGCGGCAGGCCUAACACAUGCAAGUCGAACGGUAACAGGAAGAAGCUUGCUUCUUUGCUGACGAGUGGCGGACGGGUGAGUAAUGUCUGGGAAACUGCCUGAUGGAGGGGGAUAACUACUGGAAACGGUAGCUAAUACCGCAUAACGUCGCAAGACCAAAGAGGGGGACCUUCGGGCCUCUUGCCAUCGGAUGUGCCCAGAUGGGAUUAGCUAGUAGGUGGGGUAACGGCUCACCUAGGCGACGAUCCCUAGCUGGUCUGAGAGGAUGACCAGCCACACUGGAACUGAGACACGGUCCAGACUCCUACGGGAGGCAGCAGUGGGGAAUAUUGCACAAUGGGCGCAAGCCUGAUGCAGCCAUGCCGCGUGUAUGAAGAAGGCCUUCGGGUUGUAAAGUACUUUCAGCGGGGAGGAAGGGAGUAAAGUUAAUACCUUUGCUCAUUGACGUUACCCGCAGAAGAAGCACCGGCUAACUCCGUGCCAGCAGCCGCGGUAAUACGGAGGGUGCAAGCGUUAAUCGGAAUUACUGGGCGUAAAGCGCACGCAGGCGGUUUGUUAAGUCAGAUGUGAAAUCCCCGGGCUCAACCUGGGAACUGCAUCUGAUACUGGCAAGCUUGAGUCUCGUAGAGGGGGGUAGAAUUCCAGGUGUAGCGGUGAAAUGCGUAGAGAUCUGGAGGAAUACCGGUGGCGAAGGCGGCCCCCUGGACGAAGACUGACGCUCAGGUGCGAAAGCGUGGGGAGCAAACAGGAUUAGAUACCCUGGUAGUCCACGCCGUAAACGAUGUCGACUUGGAGGUUGUGCCCUUGAGGCGUGGCUUCCGGAGCUAACGCGUUAAGUCGACCGCCUGGGGAGUACGGCCGCAAGGUUAAAACUCAAAUGAAUUGACGGGGGCCCGCACAAGCGGUGGAGCAUGUGGUUUAAUUCGAUGCAACGCGAAGAACCUUACCUGGUCUUGACAUCCACGGAAGUUUUCAGAGAUGAGAAUGUGCCUUCGGGAACCGUGAGACAGGUGCUGCAUGGCUGUCGUCAGCUCGUGUUGUGAAAUGUUGGGUUAAGUCCCGCAACGAGCGCAACCCUUAUCCUUUGUUGCCAGCGGUCCGGCCGGGAACUCAAAGGAGACUGCCAGUGAUAAACUGGAGGAAGGUGGGGAUGACGUCAAGUCAUCAUGGCCCCUUACGACCAGGGCUACACACGUGCUACAAUGGCGCAUACAAAGAGAAGCGACCUCGCGAGAGCAAGCGGACCUCAUAAAGUGCGUCGUAGUCCGGAUUGGAGUCUGCAACUCGACUCCAUGAAGUCGGAAUCGCUAGUAAUCGUGGAUCAGAAUGCCACGGUGAAUACGUUCCCGGGCCUUGUACACUCCGCCCGUCACACCAUGGGAGUGGGUUGCAAAAGAAGUAGGUAGCUUAACCUUCGGGAGGGCGCUUACCACUUUGUGAUUCAUGACUGGGGUGAAGUCGAAACAAGGUA
rnacentral:rRNA from 1 species